UCUUUCCCUUGAAUUCACAGGGUUCUUUUACAAACACUUAAACCUCCGCCGUUUAGCAGUUUAAUUUCUUCUCCCAACCAGUAAAAUUGGAUGUUGAAGAUCUAGAGUAGCAUUUUUCUUCCAUCAAAUCCAUGAGCAAGGAUAGGUAAUUGGUUUCAUGUUCAACUCGCAGCUUAGUAUCUAUUAUUCUUCUCGAUCAAUUACCUUCUCUCUCCUGUUGUCUUUGAGAUUUACCAUAGUCCUUGGCUUUGGAAGUUAUUUGAAAAGUUUAAGGUCAAAUUCAUUUCUUGAUCUUCCCCCUUCGAUAUUUUGCGGACACGAAGACCCCACUCCUUGAUGUCACUUGCAAGUUAGAAUAUUUUGUAGCAGUUGACUUUCAAAGGGCUCAUGAUAUAAUCAAUCAGGUGGCUCUUAAGCCGUCUACAAUUCAUCCUUCACACUAUCAUCUUCAUCCUUGGAUGAAGAAUCAUCCAUCAAUUCAAUCUCUUCUUCAACUGCUGCAUCAGGGUUGAUGCAAAGACUAGACUUCACAGAAUCAUAUACACGAGAAGCAAAAUCCUUAGGGUCAUCCAGCAAGAAGCCACUCUCAAAGAGAGAUGUCUGGUAGCUGCGAUGGGUUCAAUAGCAUCGUCAAUGGAUCUGGUUUUGCUGGACAAGAAUCAAGAUUUUCAUUUUAUCUGAAAGAUGCUUAUCAGUAUCCCUGUCCAGUAGAGAUUAGAAUGCUUCAAGUACAAGUUGCAUGUGUAGAACAUUUCUCGGGUGAUGUCAUCUUUUCCAGAGCAUCCUAGAGAAACAGAUAAUCAAGAGCAUGCGCACCAACAGGAGUGUUGUUGUUUGGUCCCCCCUGGAUGCAGCAAAACGCUCAUGGCCCAUGCUGUAGCUUCUGAGGCAGGACUGAAUUUUCUGGCUGUCAAGGGUCCAAAGUUAUUCAGCAAGUGGGUUGGUGAAUCUGAGAAGGCUGUUAGAUCUCUUUUUGCCAAAGCAAGAGCUAACGUGCCAUCAGUUAUAUUUUUUGAUGAAAUAGACAGUCUUGUUGUCAUCCGUGGAAAGGAAAUUGAUGGUGUUUCAGUUGCAGAUAGGGUCAUGAGUCAACUUUUGGUUGAAUUGGAUGGUCUACAUGGAAGAGUUAAUGUUACUGUUAUUGCUGCUACAAAUCGUCCUGACAAGAUUGAUCCUGCCCUUCUUAGACCAGGGCGGUUUGAUUGAAUCCUAUAUGUUGGACCCCCUAGUGAAACAGAUCGUGUUGACGUAUUUCAUGUUCAUUUGCGUAAAAUGCCUUGCGGUUCUGAUGUUGAUGUAAGCGAGCUGGCUCAUCUCACUGAAGGUUGUACCGGUGCUGACAUAUCUUUGAUCUGCAGGGAAGCAGCAAUUUCAGCAAUUAAAGAGAACCUGAAUUGUUCAGAAGUAAAGAUGGAGCACUUGAAGACUGCAAUUCUUCGUGUACACCCAUCAGAGAUUCAACCUUAUCAAGAAUUGUCGGACAAGUUUCAGCGGCUUGUCCAAGUCUCCAUCAGAGGCAUGUGUACAUCAGCUUAAUAGACCAAAGGAGUUAUCAUCCUGGAUCAAGAUGAUGGAUUGGAUCUGAUAGCAAAUGAAGAUUAAGUUGACAUGAGAAUCAUGCAGACAUAAGGGAAAGCAGAUGAAGAUGAAAAGAUAGAAGACAUUUAGUUUUGGAUUAUACAUUUUAUUUUUAGAUAUGAUCAUUUGGUUUUAUUUUGAACAUAAUAAUAUAAUUUUCAUCAUUCGUGCAAUAACUAUUUCGGAUUCAUAUUAUAUAUUAUUAGUAUUAUUCUUUUUAUGGUUAAUAUUAUUGUUCUUAUAA